UACGUAGGGUGCAAGCGUUAAUCGGAAUUACUGGGCGUAAAGCGUGCGCAGGCGGUUUUGUAAGUCUGACGUGGAAUCCCCGGGCUCAACCUGGGAAUUGCGUUGGAGACUGCAAGGCUGGAGUCUGGCAGAGGGGGGUAGAAUUCCACGUGUAGCAGUGAAAUGCGUAGAGAUGUGGAGGAACACCGAUGGCGCAAGGCAGCCCCCUGGGUCAAGACUGACGCUCAUGCACGAAAGGCGUGGGGAGCAAACAGG
rnacentral:rRNA from 1 species